UGGGGAAUAUUGCACAAUGGGCGCAAGCCUGAUGCAGCCAUGCCGCGUGUAUGAAGAAGGCCUUCGGGUUGUAAAGUACUUUCAGCGGGGAGGAAGGGAGUAAAGUUAAUACCUUUGCUCAUUGACGUUACCCGCAGAAGAAGCACCGGCUAACUCCGUGCCAGCAGCCGCGGUAAUACGGAGGGUGCAAGCGUUAAUCGGAAUUACUGGGCGUAAAGCGCACGCAGGCGGUUUGUUAAGUCAGAUGUGAAAUCCCCGGGCUCAACCUGGGAACUGCAUCUGAUAAUGGCAAGCUUGAGUCUCGUAGAGGGGGGUAGAAUUCCAGGUGGAGCGGUGAAAUGCGUAGAGAUCUGGAGGAAUACCGGUGGCGAAGGCGGCCCCCUGGACGAAGACUGACGCUCAGGUGCGAAAGCGUGGGGAGCAAACAGG
rnacentral:rRNA from 1 species